AAUAGUUAGGAGAGUUAUAUAUAAAUACGAAAGAACCACGCAUCACAAUGUUUAAAAUAUUGGAAGAGGGUUAACCGUGAUUAAAUAGACUAAUCAAUCAAUAGCGAUUCAAUCUUUCUCGUUAGGGUUUAUGGCAGAUCAAUAAAUGCAAGAGAGCCAACCUGCUGGAGUUGCAAUUGCACCUACCCUGAAGAACGUUCAAAAUAUUGUUUCAACAGUAAAUUGGGGGCGUAAGUUAGAUCUCAAAGCGAUUGGUCUCCAAGCUCCUAACACUCGUAUUGUGACGUACAAGCCCAAGGCAAGUUUCAUCUGCUCAAUCGUUGUGAAUGUCAUCCAAAUACUAUAUGUGUUAUGUAUGCAAGUGUGUGCGUUGUGCGCUUGUGCUUGCUUUUCCUUUCAAUUGGUAAAUAUGAUUGUUUUAGAGGCACUGAUGAUCGUAAUGCAAAAUUCUUUGUAGCGUAUACCUUUUCUCGUUAUGAAGAUCAGAGAACCAAAAACAACUGCACUUAUCUCUGCUUCUGGCAUGAUGAUUUGUAUUUGAGCUAAAAGUGAGCAACAAUCUAAAUUGGCAGCAAGAAAGACCGGUAUCAUGCAAAAGCUUGGUUUUCCGGCUAAAUUUGAGGAUUUCAAGAUUCGCAGCCAGAUGAAUGUCAACUUCCGCAAAUGGUUGGAUGGUCUUGCGCGUUCCUAUGGUGCUUCAUCUAGUGUAAACUUGGUUGACGAAGUUUCAAAAAGUAUUCAGCAACUCACUAUUUAACUUUGCUUGCAAGUCAGGCCAUAUUGAGUUUGUAUUUGAAACUCACAAAUACACAUUCAAUUUGUAUUCAAUGACAGGAGAGAAAAUGUACUUUUUAUAUCUUCAAGAUAAAUAAGUGUUAAUAAGAUAUGUUUAUGCAUUUCAACUACCUCAAGCCUAUUUAUGAA